rnacentral:rRNA from 1 species
UGAACGCUGGCGGCGUGCUUAACACAUGCAAGUCGAACGAACCUUCGGGUUAGUGGCGGACGGGUGAGUAACGCGUGGGAAUCUGCCCUCAGGAGGGGGAUAACGGCUGGAAACGGCCGCUAAUACCCCAUAUGCCGCGAGGUGAAAUGAAUUUCGCCUGAGGAUGAGCCCGCGUCUGAUUAGCUAGUUGGUGGGGUAAAGGCCUACCAAGGCGACGAUCAGUAGCUGGUCUGAGAGGAUGAUCAGCCACACUGGGACUGAGACACGGCCCAGACUCCUACGGGAGGCAGCAGUGGGGAAUUUUCCGCAAUGGGCGAAAGCCUGACGGAGCAACGCCGCGUGAGGGAUGAAGGCCUCUGGGCUGUAAACCUCUUUUCUCAAGGAAGAAGAUCUGACGGUACUUGAGGAAUAAGCCACGGCUAAUUCC